UAGGGAAUCUUCCGCAAUGGGCGAAAGCCUGACGGAGCUACGCCGCGUGAGUGAUGAAGGUCUUCGGAUCGUAAAACUCUGUUAUUAGGGAAGAACAAAUGUGUAAGUAACUAUGCACGUCUUGACGGUACCUAAUCAGAAAGCCACGGCUAACUACGUGCCAGCAGCCGCGGUAAUACGUAGGUGGCAAGCGUUAUCCGGAAUUAUUGGGCGUAAAGCGCGCGUAGGCGGUUUUUUAAGUCUGAUGUGAAAGCCCACGGCUCAACCGUGGAGGGUCAUUGGAAACUGGAAAACUUGAGUGCAGAAGAGGAAAGUGGAAUUCCAUGUGUAGCGGUGAAAUGCGCAGAGAUAUGGAGGAACACCAGUGGCGAAGGCGACUUUCUGGUCUGUAACUGACGCUGAUGUGCGAAAGCGUGGGGAUCAAACAGG
rnacentral:rRNA from 1 species